UCUGGAACAAUUGGGCCGAAAGCCUGAUCCAGCGACGCCGCGUUGGAGGAUGAAGGCCUCGGGGUGUAAACCCUGUGCGAGGGAGGGAAUAAAGGGCCCUGGAGGGAAAUGCCAGGCCGAUGACUGUACCUCGCGAGGGAAGCCCCGGCUAACUACGUGCCAGCAGCCGCGGUAAUACGUAGGGGGGCGAGCGUUACCCGGAUUCACUGGGCGUAAAGCGGGUGUAGGCGGCUCGGUAAGUCGGGUGUGAAAUCCCACAGCUCAACUGUGGAAUUGCGCCCGAAACUGCUGAGCUUGGGGCCGGUAGAGGGAGACGGAACUGCCGGUGUAGGGGUGAAAUCCGUAGAUAUCGGCAGGAACGCCGGUGGGGAAGCCGGUCUCCUGGGCCGCGCCCGACGCUGAGACCCGAAAGCUAGGGGAGCAAACCGGAUUAGAUACCCGGGUAGUCCUAGCCGUAAACGAUGCCCACUAGGUGUGGGGGAUUAAUUCCUCCGUGCUGUAGCUAACGCGUUAAGUGGGCCGCCUGGGGAGUACGCCCGCAAGGGUGAAACUCAAAGGAAUUGGCGGGACCCCGCACAAGCGGUGGAGCGCGUGGUUUAAUUGGAUGCUGAGCCAAGAACCUUACCAGGGCUUGACAUGCAGGUGGUACCGACCCGAAAGGGGAGGGACCCCAUCCUUUUGGAUGGGGAGCCUGCACAGGUGGUGCACGGCCGUCGUCAGCUCGUGCCGUGAGGUGUUGGGUUAAGUCCCGCAACGAGCGCAACCCCUGCCCUUAGUUGCCAUCGGUUCGGCCAGGCACUCUAAGGGGACUGCCGGCGACGAGCCGGAGGAAGGAGGGGACGACGUCAGGUACUCGUGCCCUUUAUGCCCUGGGCUACACACGCGCUACAAUGGGUGGUACAAUGGGUUGCGACCCCGCGAGGGGGAGCCAAUCCCUAAAACCACCCUCAGUUCGGAUCGCAGGCUGCAACCCGCCUGCGUGAAGCCGGAAUCGCUAGUAAUCGCGGAUCAGCCACGCCGCGGUGAAUACGUUCCCGGGGUU
rnacentral:rRNA from 1 species